rnacentral:rRNA from 1 species
GUUAAGCGACUAAGCGUACACGGUGGAUGCCCUGGCAGUCAGAGGCGAUGAAGGACGUGCUAAUCUGCGAUAAGCGUCGGUAAGGUGAUAUGAACCGUUAUAACCGGCGAUUUCCGAAUGGGGAAACCCAGUGUGUUUCGACACACUAUCAUUAACUGAAUCCAUAGGUUAAUGAGGCGAACCGGGGGAACUGAAACAUCUAAGUACCCCGAGGAAAAGAAAUCAACCGAGAUUCCCCCAGUAGCGGCGAGCGAACGGGGAGGAGCCCAGAGCCUGAAUCAGUGUGUGU